UAUUAUAUAAUAUAUUGGUAUAUCAAAUUUUGAUUUUGAAAGAAAAAUUUAAAUAUUUUUAUAAUAA